rnacentral:rRNA from 1 species
AGAGUUUGAUCAUGGCUCAGAUUGAACGCUGGCGGCAUGCCUUACACAUGCAAGUCGAACGGCAGCACGGGCUUCGGUCUGGUGGCGAGUGGCGAACGGGUGAGUAAUGUAUCGGAACGUACCUUUCAGUGGGGGAUAACGUAGCGAAAGUUACGCUAAUACCGCAUAUUCUGUGAGCAGGAAAGCAGGGGAUCGCAAGACCUUGCGCUGAUUGAGCGGCCGAUAUCAGAUUAGCUAGUUGGUGGGGUAAAGGCCUACCAAGGCUACGAUCUGUAGCGGGUCUGAGAGGAUGAUCCGCCACACUGGAACUGAGACACGGUCCAGACUCCUACGGGAGGCAGCAGUGGGGAAUUUUGGACAAUGGGGGCAACCCUGAUCCAGCCAUGCCGCGUGAGUGAAGAAGGCCUUCGGGUUGUAAAGCUCUUUCGGCCGGGAAGAAAUCGCAUAGGUUAAUACCCUGUGUGGAUGACGGUACCGGAAUAAGAAGCACCGGCUAACUACGUGCCAGCAGCCGCGGUAAUACGUAGGGUGCGAGCGUUAAUCGGAAUUACUGGGCGUAAAGCGUGCGCAGGCGGUUUCGUAAGACAGAGGUGAAAUCCCCGGGCUCAACCUGGGAACUGCCUUUGUGACUGCGAAGCUAGAGUACGGCAGAGGGGGGUGGAAUUCCACGUGUAGCAGUGAAAUGCGUAGAGAUGUGGAGGAACACCGAUGGCGAAGGCAGCCCCCUGGGCCGAUACUGACGCUCAUGCACGAAAGCGUGGGUAGCAAACAGGAUUAGAUACCCUGGUAGUCC